AUUGAACGCUGGCGGCAGGCCUAACACAUGCAAGUCGAGCGAGCGGCGGACGGGUGAGUAAUGUAUGGGGACUGCCCGAUAGAGGGGGAUAACUACUGGAAACGGUAGCUAAUACCGCAUACUAUCGGAUAACCCAUAGGGGAUUAGCUAGUAGGUGAGGUAAUGGGUCACCUAGGCGACGAUCCCUAGCUGGUCUGAGGGGAGGAUCAGCCAACCUGGGACUGAGAAACGGCCCAGACUCCUACGGAGGCAGCAGUGGGGAAUUUUGGACAAGGGGGGAAACCCUGAUCCAGCCAUCCCGCGUGUAUGAAGAAGGCCCUAGGGGUGUAAAGUACGUUCAGUCGGGAGGCGUUACCGACAGAAGAAGCACCGGCGAACUCCGUGCCAGCAGCCGCGGUAAUUC
rnacentral:rRNA from 1 species